UAAUGCUGCUUGCUUAAUUUCGUGUUACUGAUUAAGUGUUUAUACUUAAAGUUAGAUGAUAUGUUGAUGUUUUAUGGCUCGCGGAUUUGCAAUAACUGCAUUUAUCAGGCAAUCACACGUUACGUCACACGCUUAUGCUUGUACCUGCGGUCGCUCGCGCUGUAUCCAUGAUUUAAAGCAGAGAAUAGACUCUUAACUCCUUUGUAAGAAAAAGUCAAGCAGUAGCCCUUCAAAUUAAACAUAGUGAUGGUGAUCUUGUCAAUGCUGAGAUUUUAAUGCAUCAACAGCCAUUACAUCUGUCUGGAUCAGGAUUGAACAAGAAACAGACAGCAAGAGUUGUCAGGUCAGAAACGUGAUGACACACAAACAUAAGAAACUUCACAGGCGGCAAUUUCUUUUUCCACCGGUGGGUGCUCAUCACAACCUCCAGCUUUACUGGACGCCAGGUGCUCUGGAGCGCUCAAAAGCUUUGAAGAGGUGGAAAGCAGUGCAGUCAUGUUUUCGUGUGAUUUUAGAUGCGAAUUGUAAAGUUAAAGGCAGAUCACCGUGCAACUUGGUGAAGUCAUGUGUCUUUCCAGAUGCCAAAAUCUGUACCCCUCAAAAAGACUUUAUUAAAUGCCAUGAUAGCCAAGAUGAGCCUGAAGAGGAGAUUUGGGAAGAUGCUGUUUCAUAAGUCUUUGCUUUGCCAGAUUAUCUGUGGUAGGGGUGUCUGCCAACGUGAUGCCUUGCUGGUUUGGUUUGAGUUUGAAGUCUCUCACAGACAGUCCAGAAGGUCUGGAGUCCAUCUUAGCUUUCAUUGAUGCUGUCAUCAUAUUUUAAGUGCAUAAGCCAGAAUGGAUGGGUGGUGGUGACCAUAAAAAGACUGUCAACUAAACCAACAACAAAAUUCAUAUUUGCAGUAAUAAAUAAAAUGACUUUUAAACAUGAUUUUGUUUUCUUAUUUUAUGAUUUUACUUUAUAUUUGGAAUAUUCCACUUUUGCACUACUAACUGGAAACUG